rnacentral:rRNA from 1 species
GACGAACGCUGGCGGCGUGCUUAACACAUGCAAGUCGAACGGAAAGGCCCUGCUUUUGUGGGGUGCUCGAGUGGCGAACGGGUGAGUAACACGUGAGUAACCUGCCCUUGACUUUGGGAUAACUUCAGGAAACUGGGGCUAAUACCGGAUAGGAGCUCCUGCUGCAUGGUGGGGGUUGGAAAGUUUCGGCGGUUGGGGAUGGACUCGCGGCUUAUCAGCUUGUUGGUGGGGUAGUGGCUUACCAAGGCUUUGACGGGUAGCCGGUCUGAGAGGGUGACCGGCCACAUUGGGACUGAGAUACGGCCCAGACUCCUACGGGAGGCAGCAGUGGGGAAUAUUGCACAAUGGGCGGAAGCCUGAUGCAGCAACGCCGCGUGCGGGAUGACGGCCUUCGGGUUGUAAACCGCUUCCGCCUGUGACGAAGCGUGAGUGACGGUAAUGGGUAAAGAAGCACCGGCUAACUACGUG